rnacentral:rRNA from 1 species
UACGUAGGUUGCAAGCGUUGUCCGGAAUUAUUGGGCGUAAAGCGCGCGCAGGCGGGUAUGUAAGUCUGAUGUUAAAGCCCGGGGCUCAACCUCGGUUCGCAUUGGAAACUUCGUAACUGGAGUGCAGAAGAGGAAAGGGGUAUUCCACGUGUAGCGGUGAAAUGCGUAGAUAUGUGGAGGAACACCAGUGGCGAAGGCGACUUUCUGGUCUUUAACUGACGCUGAGGCGCGAAAGCGUGGGGAGCAAACAGG